rfam:Trichobilharzia regenti genome assembly, scaffold: TRE_scaffold0019548
GUCGGCUACGGUGAUAUUACACCGAAAACAGUAUUAGGCAAAGUAAUUGGUUCAGUAUGCUGUAUUUGUGGUGUCCUUGUAGUUGGUCUUCCAAUUCCUAUAAUUGUGAAUAAU